ensembl:lncRNA
GGGGCGGUACCACAAAUGACCGAAGGAACCAGGCAGGAGCCAGGGCGAGGGUUUAAUCGAGUCUUGGGAAGGCAGUGCCAGAAUGACGGACUGGGCAAGGGGGUGGCCCGGGCUGAGCGAUUGAGGACGAGCCUCAGGGUAGGGGCGGGGUCGGCGGGCGGGCUAAGCUAGGCGAGCCGGGCACCGCCAGGGAUAAAUGACGCGGCUGGGACAGGGCGUCAUUUGGUGGAAUGCUAGCCUACGAGAUAGAGUCCAGAAGAGCGGGCCCGAAGACUGCUCGAGGGACCGGGGAAGGAUGACUGGCAGCUCCAGGACGAGGAAGGAGGGAGGAGACGACGGGCGUAGGUGUAGUGCAGAGACAUCAGACCUGCCGGAAGGAGGUUUCGAUCUUCCAGGCCACCGGUCCCAAUGAAAUCCAGCCAAGGGCGUUCACCUGCUUCCGAUUGCACCACGUGGGUCUUUCCUAGGGCCAGGAAACCCGCCACUAGCGAUUGUCCCCGUGGUAGCCCUGGUUCGGCGUCGGUUCAGACCCGGCCCGCCUGUCCACAGUUGCAGAAGUGCUGUCUAGACUGCUUCCUGGUGUAUCUCCGGGUCUUCGAUCGACGAUCUCCGGGCCUGAGCUGCUGCCCGGAGCCGCCCGGGGCCCUGAAGGCCUCAGAGUUCCUGAAUUACAGUGUCUGCUGGGAGUUGGCACGUCAGCCGGCAUUCCAGCUGGAGAGAAGGAGAGGGAUAGGCUCUUUGUCGUGACCACGCCUCUCUGUUCACUGGCCCCUCCCCCACCCAGCUGGCCCCACCCACCUAGUGCCUCCGCCCCUGCUCUUCCCUGGCCCCCCUCUAAUUCGCAGUCCCCGCCCCUAAGGAUAAACCCGGUCCACUCCUACUCUCAGGCUCCGGCUACCCGCCAUAUCCCGCCCAGUCCUUGGCCUCGUCCCGCGCCCUUCCUCGUCUCAGGCUCCCCAUUUUCAAUCGGCUCCAGGACCUCCCACUGGGGCUGGGAAUACGAGUCCGCGACGCUUUGUCCAACACAACAGCCCUCCUUAUUUUCGCCUUCGGGUGCUUUCUCUGUAUCUCCUCCAAGCUGGGAGAAUGAAGGUGGUCCUGCAUGAAGUCUGAAUUGGGCGAGGGGAGAAGGUCGUACCAAUGGGAUACGGAGGUCGUGGCUCAGGUCUUUGUGUCUGGGCAGAAUCUCAGGGGCUCCCUGAAUCUGAUCGAGUGAGAGCUGUUCCUUUCUGUAAUAUGGGCUCCCCCUGGGAGGGUUGGAGCGGCAGAGCCUCUCACCUCCCAUUCCAGCUGUUUCCGAAAUCUCAGCCUGCAUUUACAUAGAGGACCCCUUGCCCUGAGUGGGCUGUAAUACUCUACCUGGAGCCCGCCUUGUGCCCACCAAGGUUCCCAGGGAGGACUCCUACUCCCUGGCCCUGACACCUCCAAGAGAUCUGUUUUACAGAAGAGUCUGACUAUUCCCAGGUUCCAGGCCUUGAGACACUGCUGGGCAUCAGCCCCCAGAAGGUCCUGCUGCCCUAUGUCAACCUUGAGCCGCCUGGAGCCUGCCAUCACCCCAUCACCCUCAGCCCUGGGGCCAGCUUCCCAAACAGAUGUUCUUUGUCACAACAUUACCCCACAUCUGGAGACUGGAGUUCCCAUAGAGGCAGGAGUGGGAGAUGGUAGAGGAGAACAGAGGGUCAAGUUCUCUAGAUGACUUCUCUUGGGAGGCUUGUGAGCUCUGGGGAAACAGGCUCAGAAAUGGCGCUGCUUGGUCGCCAUUGAGGCAGCAAUAGAGCUGCCACUCACACAUCAGCCACUCACUCCAGUGCAACCAGCCUGGAGAGUUCUGAUGAGACACCAAGUGUAUCCUCCCCAGGCUGCCUGAAGGCGGGUCUUCCCUCUUCUUCUGUCCUUAGGCUUACUCUUCAGGACAUCCUGACAGCAUCCAAGAGGUGAGGUGAUCCUCUUGGGAUUCUCUCAACUCUGGAAUCCCCUUGAUCACGGGGAAGGGGGAGCAGCAGUCUCCAGGAGUAAGCAGGGCCAAUCCUGGGCACUGGGGUCGCAGACAUCCAGGAGACUCCCACACUGCUUUCUCAUCUCGCAGAAUGGAGGGGGCCUGCAUCCUGCUCACUGGAGGAUCUCUCUCUUCAAGGCUCAUCUGCCUCCGGAGCAGUAAGCCCCUUCUUCCAGGCAGUGGAUAGAGUGGGUCUCUAUGGCCUCACUGGGCUACAGGAACCCUGAUGGAUGGGUGGGUCCUCCACACACCUCACUGGACCAGAGCUUGGACACCUAGAAAGCUUUGGCCCCAGGCCACAGAAGGGACUCACAGCCUUCAUCCAUCAGUCCAGCAUCAGUAUUCUAACAAUCCCAAGCCACAUUUACUGAACUCAUGUUCUGCUCCAGUAACCACAUCAUUCCCCCUUUUACCUUUAUUGGCCUCCCGUCUUUAAAAUAAAAUCUGAGAUCCACACCAUGACUUCCAAAGCCCUGCUUGGUGUUCCAGUCUCUCUCCAACUUUCUCCUUUGCCCAUUACAAUCUGACCAAGAUGUUCUCUCUCUAUUCUAUGAACACAUCUGUGUUUUUCUGCCUUUGGGUCUUUGUCCAGGCCUCUCUCUACUUGGAACUAGAUUGUAAGCCCUGUAAUGGCAAGGACUGUGUUCACUUUUGUUUAUCUCUAAAUCCUCACAUGUUUAAACAAUAGACAAUAAUGCCAGCUCUAACAGGUCUUAAUAAACAGUCCUGGAAUAAA